AAAGGGUGCGUAGGCGGGCAAUUAAGUCAGGGGUGAAAUCCCGAGGCUCAACCUCGGAACUGCCCUUGAUACUGGUUGUCUUGAGUCCGGAAGAGGUGAGUGGAACUGCGAGUGUAGAGGUGAAAUUCGUAGAUAUUCGCAAGAACACCGGUGGCGAAGGCGGCUCACUGGUCCGGAACUGACGCUGAGGCACGACAGCGUGGGGAGCAAACAGGAUUAGAUACCCUUGU
rnacentral:rRNA from 1 species